GGGAUUAAAUUUUUUAUUUGUUUUAUUUUUAUUUGUUAAAUUGGAAUAAUUUAUUUAUUUAGUAUAUUUUAUGGAAAUAUUUAUUUUUAAUUAUAGUUUAAUUUACUGUGAAGGGUUAAAUAUUUAAUUUUAGGAAGUAUAAUUUUUAUUAGUACCUUUUGUAUCAGGGUUUAUUAAUUAAUUAAUAUAUAUAUAUUAAUUCUCGAAGUUGUGGGAGAUAUCCUGAAAUGUUUUUUUAUAUAUCAUAAUGAUUUAUAAUUUUGGGAUAGGGGUUAUAUGCUAUUCAAUCUUAAUAUAUCUAGUUACUUAAGAAAUGAAUUUAAUUCACAAUUAUUAUGUUAAAUUUUAUUUUAAUUGAUUUUAAUAUAAUAAUUGAAGAUUAUGGGGGAUUAGCUUUAUAAUUUAUUAUAUAAGGAAUUCUUUUUUUAAUAUUUGUAGGCUUAAUAACAGCCAUCUUAAAUUUCGUUAUAGUUUAAUUUAUCUCUUUAUUUAUUUAUUUUUCUUUAUUUAUUUUAUUAAGUAUUAUUAUGUAAUUGGUUUAUAUUAGUUAUAAUGAUAAAAUUAGUAGUAUUAAUUAUUUAAGUUUAGUAAUUCGGCAAAUAUUAUCUUCGCCUGUUUAACAAAAACAUGUCCUAUAGAUACAUUAAUUUUAGGUCUAACCUGCUCAAUGAUUAAUUUAUUAAAUAGCCGCAGUAUAUUAACUGUGCAAAGGUAGCAUAAUCAUUUGUCUUUUAAUUGGAGGCUUGUAUGAAUGGUUGAACGAGGGAUAAUCUUUCUUUACUUAAUUUUUAUGAAUUUAAUAUUUUAGUUAAAAGGCUAAAAUGAUUUUGUGGGACGAGAAGACCCUAUAGAAUUUUAUUUUUAAUUUAAUAAUCUUAAUUUUAUCUCUUUAUUUAUUUAUUUUUAUUUAUUAAUUUGGUUGGGGUGAUUGUGAAAUUUUUUUAACUUUUACUUUUAAAUUAUUCAUUAAUUAUUGUUUUGUUGAUCCUUUAUUAUGGAAUAAAAGAUUAAAUUACCUUAGGGAUAACAGCGUAAUUUCUUUGGAGAGUUCUUAUUGAUGAAGGAGUUUGCGACCUCGAUGUUGGAUUAAAGUUAAUUUUUGGUGUAGAAGCUGAAUUUAUUAGGUCUGUUCGACCUUUAAAUCUUUACAUGAUCUGAGUUCAGACCGGCGUGAGCCAGGUUGGUUUCUAUCUACAAUUUAUUUUUAUAUUUUAGUACGAAAGGACCAAAUAUUAAUAAUAUUUAUUUUUAUUUGAUUAAUAUUAA
rnacentral:rRNA from 1 species